GACGAACGCUGGCGGCGUGCUUAACACAUGCAAGUCGAACGGAAAGGCCCUGCUUUUGUGGGGUGCUCGAGUGGCGAACGGGUGAGUAACACGUGAGUAACCUGCCCUUGACUUUGGGAUAACUUCAGGAAACUGGGGCUAAUACCGGAUAGGAGCUCCUGCUGCAUGGUGGGGGUUGGAAAGUUUCGGCGGUUGGGGAUGGACUCGCGGCUUAUCAGCUUGUUGGUGGGGUAGUGGCUUACCAAGGCUUUGACGGGUAGCCGGCCUGAGAGGGUGACCGGCCACAUUGGGACUGAGCUCCGGCCCAGACUCCUCCGGGAGGCAGCAGUGGGGAAUAUUGCCCAAUGGGCGGAAGCCUGAUGCAGCAACGCCGCGUGCGGGAUGACGGCCUUCGGGUUGUAAACCGCUUUCGCCUGUGACGAAGCGUGAGUGACGGUAAUGGGUAAAGAAGCACCGGCUAACUACGUG
rnacentral:rRNA from 1 species